ensembl:lncRNA
UUCUGAUAACCGUGCCCAGCUGAUCUUCCAUAAUAUUGCAUGAGGCUGCAGUUCCACCAACUGUGGACGAGAGCUCACCACUCUGCUGCCAGUGCCAGCUGCCCUGAUGGUGAGCUGAGCCCCAAGGGAACUCAGGAUGGAGACACAAUGCCCGCCCUCUUGUCUCCGUGAUGAUGGCUGAUCAAGCCACCAGCCACUGCAGCCACCCCCGAGGGUGCACCUUGAGGAGACAUCAGAUGAGAAAGAACAAAGAACCCUGGCCCCAGAGAGCUAAGUAAUCUUCUGAAGUUCCGACUGCCUCGUGUUUGUUGCAAAAGCUCCUCCCCAUUCUGGCUCCUGCCUUGCCUCUGUGGAGCAGGACUUCAGAGCUACCUGAGAGGCUGCAUCCUGGGCUAUCGUCCUCAGGCUUCCUCCAGCUGUAUCAAGCAGCGGUCACUCUUGCUUGCGGUGCACGGGCUCUCACCGUGGUGGCUUCUUCUGUUGCAGAGCUCGGGCUGCAGAGUGCGGGCCUCAGCAGCUGCAGCUCGCAGGCCCUCGCGCGCAGGUCCUUCCCUGGUGGUGCAGUGGUUGAGAAUUCACCUUCCAAUGCAGCAGUGGAGGUUCUGAUCCCUGGUCGGGGAACGGCGAUCCCACGUGCCGCAGAGCUACUGAGCAGGCAGGCUUCAACUGCUGACCCCACGCCACGACUGGAGAGUCCGUGCACGACAACGAAAGAUCCCACAUGACACAGCUCAGACCUGAUACACUCAAGAGUACAUCGUGAGAAACGCUGGGCUAGAAGAAGCACAAGCUGGAAUCAAGAUUGCUGGGAGAAAUAUCGAUAACCUCAGAUAUGCAGAUGACACCACCCUUAUGGCAGAAAGUGAAGAAGAACUAAAAAGCCUUGAUGAAAGUGAAAGAGGAGAGUGAAAAGGUUGGCUUAAAGCUCAACAUUCAGAAAACUAAGAUCAUAACCCUGUAUGCGAGACAGCAAAAGAGACACAGAUGUGUAGAACAGUUUUUUGGACUCUGUGGGAGAGGG